rnacentral:rRNA from 1 species
UACGUAGGGUCCGAGCGUUUGUCCGGAAUUACUGGGCGUAAAGAGCUCGUAGGUGGUUUGUCGCGUUGUUCGUGAAAACUCACAGCUCAACUGUGGGCGUGCGGGCGAUACGGGGCAGACUAGAGUACUGCAGGGGAGACUGGAAUUCCUGGUGUAGCGGUGGAAUGCGCAGAUAUCAGGAGGAACACCGGUGGCGAAGGCGGGUCUCUGGGCAGUAACUGACGCUGAGGAGCGAAAGCGUGGGGAGCGAACAGG